AGAAGCCCUGGACUGGACCCCAGAAGACAAGGGCCCUGGGAAUCAUUUAUACAAGAGAAUGUGGAUUCUUCAUUCCAGGGAUGAGCAUUGGUUUCUAACAGAGCCUGCAAUAGCCAUUGCAGGACCUGCUGAGCAGCCUUUGUGAAGGAAAGCUCCAAGGAGGACAGGACACAGCACAAUGAGACGUUCAGCACUGACACAGCAUUCUGCACUUUGCACAAUUAAGGCUCUCACCUCUCCUCACCCUGCAGGGAGAAGGUGGCAGUAUUGACAGGUCUUGAUGGCUGAGGCAGAGGCAGAGAAAAACAGCCAACAGAGUGUUACCUCAGAGAGUGUGUGCUGGGAAUAAGGAGACCAGGAAAAUACAGCCAAGAAAAUGAAACAGUCUUGAGCUGACCCUCGAAGCAAAUUUCAUAGGUAGUAUUUCAAUAAUGAGAAGAAAACUUCAUUGUUCUCGCUGAAGAUCCUUGGC